rnacentral:misc_RNA from 1 species
AAGUCGUAACAAGGUUUCCGUAGGUGAACCUGCGGAAGGAUCAUUACAGUAGUCACCCGGGUUGCCGCAAGGCCUCUCGGGUAACCUACCACCCUUUGUUUAUUACACUUUGUUGCUUUGGCAGGCCUGCCUUCGGGCUGCUGGCUCCGGCCGGCGAGCGCUUGCCAGAGGAUCUAAACUCUGUUUGUCUAUACUGUCUGAGUACUAUAUAAUAGUUAAAACUUUCAACAACGGAUCUCUUGGUUCUG